CGGCGGACGGGUGAGUAACGCGUGGGUAACCUACCCUGUACACACGGAUAACAUACCGAAAGGUAUGCUAAUACGGGAUAAUAUAUUUGAGAGGCAUCUCUUAAAUAUCAAAGGUGAGCCAGUACAGGAUGGACCCGCGUCUGGUUAGCUAGUUGGUAAGGUAACGGCUUACCAAGGCGACGAUCAGUAGCCGACCUGAGAGGGUGAUCGGCCACAUUGGAACUGAGACACGGUCCAAACUCCUACGGGAGGCAGCAGUGGGGAAUAUUGCACAAUGGGCGAAAGCCUGAUGCAGCAACGCCGCGUGAGUGAUGAAGGCCUUCGGGUCGUAAAACUCUGUCCUCAAGGAAGAUAAUGACGGUACUUGAGGAGGAAGCCCCGGCUAACUACGUGCCAGCAGCCGCGGUAAUACGUAGGGGGCUAGCGUUAUCCGGAUUUACUGGGCGUAAAGGGUGCGUAGGCGGUCUUUCAAGUCAGGAGUGAAAGGCUACGGCUCAACCGUAGUAAGCUCUUGAAACUGGGAGACUUGAGUGCAGGAGAGGAGAGUGGAAUUCCUAGUGUAGCGGUGAAAUGCGUAGAUAUUAGGAGGAACACCAGUUGCGAAGGCGGCUCUCUGGACUGUAACUGA
rnacentral:rRNA from 1 species